AAAGGCUGCCAGCAAAUAAAAUCUGCUCAAUUUUAGAGAAUAUAUUGACUAUGUUGAAAACCGAGUAAGUUUUAUUUAAUUUUUAAAGUUAAUUUAAU